rnacentral:rRNA from 1 species
UACGUAGGGCGCAAGCGUUGUCCGGAAUUAUUGGGCGUAAAGAGCUCGUAGGCGGUCUGUCGCGUCCGUUGUGAAAACUCGAGGCUCAACCUCGGGCUUGCAGUGGAUACGGGCAGACUAGAGUGCGGUAGGGGAGACUGGAAUUCCUGGUGUAGCGGUGGAAUGCGCAGAUAUCAGGAAGAACACCAAUGGCGAAAGCAGCUUCUGGGACGGUACUGACGCUGAGACGCGAAAGCGUGGGGAGCGAACAGG